GACGAACGCUGGCGGCGUGCCUAAUACAUGCAAGUCGAACGCUUCUUUCCUCCCGAGUGCUUGCACUCAAUUGGAAAGAGGCGUGGCGGACGGGUGAGUAACACGUGGGUAACCUACCCAUCAGAGGGGGAUAACACUUGGAAACAGGUGCUAAUACCGCAUAACAGUUUAUGCCGCAUGGCAUAAGAGUGAAAGGCGCUUUCGGGUGUCGCUGAUGGAUGGACCCGCGGUGCAUUAGCUAGUUGGUGAGGUAACGGCUCACCAAGGCCACGAUGCAUAGCCGACCUGAGAGGGUGAUCGGCCACACUGGGACUGAGACACGGCCCAGACUCCUACGGGAGGCAGCAGUAGGGAAUCUUCGGCAAUGGACGAAAGUCUGACCGAGCAACGCCGCGUGAGUGAAGAAGGUUUUCGGAUCGUAAAACUCUGUUGUUAGAGAAGAACAAGGACGUUAGUAACUGAACGUCCCCUGACGGUAUCUAACCAGAAAGCCACGGCUAACUACGUG
rnacentral:rRNA from 1 species